GCAGGGGGCGCAAGGAUUCACUUCUCUCUUGGACACUGACGGGUCUCGACACGCAAAUUCUGCUCCUGGCGUUGGCCGUCAGUGGAAGAGCGUAGCUUCGGUGGGGUUCUGUCUGCCUCUGAUGGGGUGCGGAUGUGUGGUUCGUCACUGGUGAAUGGUGUUCGACGAUGCAGGUGGAUUUUGUGACGAGCGGAUUUACAAUGAGGGAAUGCUGUGAACGGGAAAAAUGAUGGUGAGUGUCUUUUUCACUCUGUUCAAGUGUUUGUUUUCCUCUGUUGCCCAGCAGUCGUACAAUUUGUGCUGACAUGCCCCGAUAUGCAUGCUUUCCUGUGUUGACGCUUAGUAUUUUUUUCUCUUUUGACAAGGAACAUUGUUGUCUUGACGAUAGUGCUGCCCUGAGUUCUGCGCGCGUUGAUUUGUUGAGUGCCUAGUCCUCUUAUUAGCCGUUGAUGGAGUUACAUGUUAGGAUGUUUUGUUCUUUUGCAAGUCUCAUUUAGUAAGACUUUGGAAUUCCUUCGAUCAGCUUUCAUGCAUGGUGCUCUUCUGCAAUAGUUUCCUAUGCAAUCGUUAUAGAAGAAUAAAGGAAAUAAUCUUGGGAUAGUGAUUCAAUAAAUAAUAGGUCCCCUGUCUAGAGCGCACGCGUCCUUGAGCCACGCAGGUGCAUGAUGACGUCAUACCGUGGCUUCACUGCAGAUUGACCAAAGGAGCAUUAUUGGAAAAAAAACAGGGUAGCCCUGAGACAAUAGGAUGAUGUCUGGACCAAUGAGAACUGCCAGCAGGGGGCGCAGGAAUGCUCUUCUCACUUAGCCUCACGACCAAUGAGAACUGCCAGCAGGGGGCGCAGGAAUGCUCUUCACUCUUAGCCUCUCGCAGGUGGCGGUAGGAGCGCGCAGAGGGCGCUACGAGCGCGCGCAUGCGUAGCACCCGUAGAGUGGCGCUUACGUCAGUCCACCUCUGGCUCUCGUUGGGAGAAGACGUGCGGUCGUUCGCUCCGUCGUCACUUGAUCCCUGGCUGUCGACGAGAGCAGUCGCAUCGGUCUGCGCUCCUACUGUGAGCUGUCCUAACUUGCCCAGAC